rnacentral:rRNA from 1 species
GAUGAACGCUAGCGGCAGGCCUAAUACAUGCAAGUCGAGGGGUAACAGUACUUUUCGGAGUAGCUGACGACCGGCGCACGGGUGCGUAACGCGUAUGCAAUCUACCUACAGCAGAGGGAUAGCCCGUGGAAACAUGGAUUAAUACCUCAUAAUACAGGGGGCCCGCAUGGGCAUAUUGUUAAAGAUUUAUCGGCUGUAGAUGAGCAUGCGUCCCAUUAGCUAGUUGGUACGGUAACGGCGUACCAAGGCGAUGAUGGGUAGGGGUUCUGAGAGGAUGAUCCCCCACACUGGUACUGAGAUACGGACCAGACUCCUACGGGAGCAGCAGUAGGGAAUAUGGUCAAUGGACGAAGUCUGAACCAGCCAUGCCGCGUGCAGGAAGACGGCCUUCUGGGUUGUAAACUGCUUUUUACAGGGAAAAAAGGCUUUGCGAGAGACAUUGCCGGUACUGAAGAUAAGCACCGGCU